AUAUCUUAGUUGCAGGUCCUUCUAGUUGUGGGAUGCGGGACGCCGCCUCAACGUGGCCAGACGAGCGGUGCCAUGUCCGCACCCAGGAUCCCAACCCUGGGCCGCCGCAGCGAGCUAGCGAACUUAACCACUCGGCCACGGAGCCGGCCCCUAAAGUUAUCAUCUUUGUGUCAAUAGAAUGGACAAAUUCUGAAGAGAAUUAGGAAGGUUAGCCCUGAGCUAACAUCUGCUGCCGAUCUUCCUCUUUUUGCUGAGGAAGAUUGGCCCUGAAAUAAUAUCCAUGCCCAUCUUCCUCUAUUUUACAUGUGGGACGCCUGUUACAGCAUGGCUUGAUAAUCGUGCCUACGAUCUGAACCAGCAAACCCCGGGCUGCCGAAGCCGAGUGCCAGGACUUAACCACUAUGCCACUGGCCACCCCCGGGAUAAGUCAAGAAGGACAAUUAUGGCCCCGGCCUCUGGGGUGGAUGGUGCCUCUUACUGAGAUACAGAACACGGAGGUUUUAUGGUUCAGGUUCCAUCAUGUUGAGUUUGUGGUCUGAGGGACAUUGGCUCAGAGCUGUCCAGUGAACAGUUGGCUCCAUGGCACUCAGGAGGCAAAUCUGGCCCGGAUUCAUAGCAAACUGAA
rnacentral:lncRNA from 1 species